rnacentral:rRNA from 1 species
GAUGAACGCUAGCGGCAGGCCUAACACAUGCAAGUCGAACGGUAACAUUUCCAGCUUGCUGGAAGAUGACGAGUGGCGCACGGGUGCGUAACGCGUAUACAACUUACCUAUAACUAAAGAAUAGCCCCGAGAAAUUGGGAUUAAUGCUUUAUAGUACUGCGAAAUGGCAUCAUUUUGUAGUUAAAGAUUUAUCGGUUAUAGAUGGGUAUGCGUCCCAUUAGUUUGUUGGUGAGGUAACGGCUCACCAAGACUGCGAUGGGUAGGGGGUCUGAGAGGAUUAUCCCCCACACUGGUACUGAGACACGGACCAGACUCCUACGGGAGGCAGCAGUGAGGAAUAUUGGUCAAUGGGCGCAAGCCUGAACCAGCCAUGCCGCGUGCAGGAAGAAUGCCCUAUGGGUUGUAAACUGCUUUUAUAUAGGAAGAAACCCCUGAACGUGUUCGGGGCUGACGGUACUAUAUGAAUAAGGACCGGCUAACUCCG